AUACGGAGGAAAAGAAACCAACUGGGAUUACCUUAGUAACGGCGAGUGAAGCGGUAAAAGCUCAAAUUUGAAAUCUGGUACUUUCAGUGCCCGAGUUGUAAUUUGUAGAAUUUGUCUUUGAUUAGGUCCUUGUCUAUGUUCCUUGGAACAGGACGUCAUAGAGGGUGAGAAUCCCGUUUGGCGAGGAUACCUUUUCUCUGUAAGACUUUUUCGAAGAGUCGAGUUGUUUGGGAAUGCAGCUCAAAGUGGGUGGUAAAUUCCAUCUAAAGCUAAAUAUUGGCGAGAGACCGAUAGCGAACAAGUACAGUGAUGGAAAGAUGAAAAGAACUUUGAAAAGAGAGUGAAAAAGUACGUGAAAUUGUUGAAAGGGAAGGGCAUUUGAUCAGACAUGGUGUUUUUUGCAUGCACUCGCCUCUCGUGGGCUUGGGCCUCUCAAAAAUUUCACUGGGCCAACAUCAAUUCUGGCAGCAGGAUAAAUCAUUAAGAAUGUAGCUACUUCGGUAGUGUUAUAGCUUUUUGGAAUACUGUUAGCCGGGAUUGAGGACUGCGCUUCGGCAAGGAUGUUGGCAUAAUGGUUAAAUGCCGCCCGUCUUG
rnacentral:rRNA from 1 species